UACGUAGGGUGCGAGCGUUGUCCGGAAUUACUGGGCGUAAAGAGCUUGUAGGCGGUUUGUCGCGUCUGCUGUGAAAAUCCGGGGCUCAACCCCGGACUUGCAGUGGGUACGGGCAGGCUAGAGUGUGGUAGGGGAGACUGGAAUUCCUGGUGUAGCGGUGGAAUGCGCAGAUAUCAGGAGGAACACCGAUGGCGAAGGCAGGUCUCUGGGCCACUACUGACGCUGAGAAGCGAAAGCAUGGGGAGCGAACAGG
rnacentral:rRNA from 1 species